GGGCGAGCGGCCUCCAGAAUGCAAGCAACAAUAAUUUUGAUUGCUGCAGUGUAUGUGAAGUAGCUGAAUUGAUGGUUGUAAGGGAGCGGAAAGAAAGGGGCUUGAAGUUUUGGGUGGUAGUUAAUUUUUUAUUUAAUUUAUUUUCACUUUGUCAUUACGAACAAUUGGUGUGGAGUUCUUCUUUCGCUUUACCCUUUUGUUUUGGAGAGAAUGUGAUCAAAUAGUUAGUACGAGCGAUUUCUUUUUGUU
rnacentral:lncRNA from 1 species